AACGUAGGAGGCGAGCGUUAUCCGGAAUCACUGGGCGUAAAGGGCGUCUAGGCGGAUGGGCAAGCGAGGUGUGAAAGCUCCCGGCUCAACUGGGAGAGUGCGCUUCGAACUGCCCGUCUUGAGGUGAGCAGAAGGGGGUGGAAUUCCCGGUGGAGUGGUGAAAUGCGUAGAUAUCGGGAGGAACACCAGUGGCGAAAGCGGCCCCCUAGGCUUAUCCUGACGCUGAAGCGCGAAAGCGUGGGGAGCAAAC
rnacentral:rRNA from 1 species